AAACAAGACUAACUGGGAAAUACCCCAUAGCCCUCAAAAUGGAAAGCUCAAAGAGUUUUCAGAUGUGCAUCACCGGAACCAUCGAGGGUUGAGUCAAGACACCUAAAAGUCUUGUAGAUGCCAUGAAAUCAGUUCAAAAGAAGACUUCUUCGGCUCUAUGUAAAAUUUCCACACUAAUCUACAUGAGAUUAAGCUUCAAGAGAAGCGAAUACUAAUAUUUUGAAAAAUAUGAUAUGAUGGAUUUUCAAAUAUCAACAAUUAACGUUAAUCACCAGAAGGUAAGAACAUUGAAACUUUAUGUUACAAGAUUUUAUGCUUUAGAGGCAUUAAAAACAAUAGUGAACCAUUAUAUGAGACUAAAGUGUUGGUAAAGUAACCAUAUGGUUGUUUGUAAAUGUUGGUGUAGCUGUUGUAUCUGAAAGUAUGAGUGAUGUUGUAUUUUUUGUGCCAUCUGAUUGCGUGUGCGAUUAUGUGCAUCCACAUACUUUAUUUUGACAUUUAUGAAUCCUGAGACUUUGAACUUCGUCUUUCUCCAUGUUGAUAAUUCAUCUAUCUUUUGAGGGAAUCUCUUAGAUAUUGUUAUAGGUUUUAGUACCUACAAAAUGAGCACCCAUGUUAUCUGUUCUUCUCUAUUUUUUUUCUUUUUUUUUCUACAGAGGGUUUCUUUUUUUUUUUUGCAACACCAUGAGUUAACGGAGACUUUUAUUGCAUUUCUUUGACUUGUUCCUUUUCUUUUCACCACACCCCCAACAAAGGCUUUUGGCUUAAGUUGGAUAUUUCUAUUUAAAAAAAAAUCUUUCGUGAUGAAGGGAACGGAUCAAGAAGGGUAUAGUCUUUAUAAAGUUUCUUCAAAUGAAGGUUAAGUCUUAAAGAGUGUUCAAUAGAGGUUCACACACCCACAAGGAAAUUCACAAGAGAGGUAUAAGUCAAAUUGGCUCACACUCUAUAAAAUUCCCUAAGAUCAUAUCAAAAGAAAACACUACUUGGUCAAGUAGAAUGACAGGGAAAUUUUUAGGUAUUUUCAUGCAUGGUUCAAGGUAAGCUUAUCACACAAGACAUCGACACUUAAGUCAAACAAGACUCAGAGUUUUCGCUAGUGUGUACGGUCAUUACAUGAGAAUCAAUCUGACACAUGGCUACUCACAACGAGAUGAAAAGAGUUCGCAUAUUAUUUAUGCAACUUCAUUUAGUCUCUUCAUAGCCGCACAUUCAUCAUUGUUCGGUUGAGAGCACUAUUCAAGUUAUAUUGGUAUUGAUCAGAAACGAUACUUGGAUUUGCGAUAGAACAACCACUUUCAAUAUAAGAGUUGGAAAAUAUUUGCAAAAAUUUUGAAAAUUUAUCGGAAGAGUGCCAAAAUCAUUUUGAAA